rnacentral:lncRNA from 1 species
GCUGGAAGAAGUCUGGAAGAGAUUCGGAGAAUAGCCGAUCACUAUAGAAAAUUGACUGAUAGCGGAGUUCAGAGGGUGUUUGGAGCAAUCCGGUAGAUGAAUGGAGAAGCUCAUGAUUGGAGAGGCUCGGAUGGCAUUAUGGAAGCUCGGAAGGUCGGAGGAGUUCAGAAAGAUGCCACACAAGGUUGGAAACUGGAAAACCCCUGGAAGGGUCGGCCUUUUGCAAACUUCGGCUGGAGAUAUUUUAUACCCAACACCAGUCCCUCUACUUCUAAGUUCGGGUUUUGAAUGAAGUACAGAGAAAUUUUCACAGUCGAAGGCGCGCU